GACGAACCGUACGAACGUUAUUCGGAAUCACUGGGCUUAAAGGGUGCGUAGGCGGUCCGGUAAGUUGGGUGUGAAAGCCCUCGGCUCAACCGAGGAAUUGCGCCCAAAACUGUCGGACUUGAGGGAGACAGAGGUGGGCGGAACUUAGGGUGGAGCGGUGAAAUGCGUUGAUAUCCUAAGGAACACCAGUGGCGAAAGCGGCUCACUGGGUCUCUUCUGACGCUGAGGCACGAAAGCUAGGGGAGCGAACGGG
rnacentral:rRNA from 1 species